rnacentral:sRNA from 12 species
UUGCGACAUGCGCCGGGUAACAGCAAGGUCGGCGUAAUGCUGGCAGCGUCAUUCGGACGUGGGAUCCUUGCUCCGGGGGUCGCACACAGG